UGACCUGCGGAGGAUCAUUAUCGAGUUUUGAAAGCGAGGCUUGCUGCUGGCGUGUAAUCUCGUGCGCAUGUGCACGGCCUUCGCGCUCAAAUCCAACUCAAACCCCUGUGCACCUUUAUAUAUACCGCGAGUCGAAGUUAGUAAUC
rnacentral:rRNA from 1 species